rnacentral:rRNA from 1 species
CAGGCUUAACACAUGCAAGUCGAGGGGCAUCAGGAAGAAAGCUUGCUUUCUUUGCUGGCGACCGGCGCACGGGUGAGUAACACGUAUCCAACCUGCCCUUUACUCGGGGAUAGCCUUUCGAAAGAAAGAUUAAUACCCGAUAGCAUAAUGAUUCCGCAUGGUUUCAUUAUUAAAGGAUUCCGGUAAAGGAUGGGGAUGCGUUCCAUUAGGUUGUUGGUGAGGUAACGGCCCACCAAGCCUUCGAUGGAUAGGGGUUCUGAGAGGAAGGUCCCCCACAUUGGAACUGAGACACGGUCCAAACUCCUACGGGAGGCAGCAGUGAGGAAUAUUGGUCAAUGGGCGCUAGCCUGAACCAGCCAAGUAGCGUGAAGGAUGAAGGCUCUAUGGGUCGUAAACUUCUUUUAUAUAAGAAUAAAGUGCAGUAUGUAUACUGUUUUGUAUGUAUUAUAUGAAUAAGGAUCGGCUAACUCCGUGCCAGCAGCCGCGGUAAUACGGAGGAUCCGAGCGUUAUCCGGAUUUAUUGGGUUUAAAGGGAGCGUAGGUGGACUGGUAAGUCAGUUGUGAAAGUUUGCGGCUCAACCGUAAAAUUGCAGUUGAUACUGUCAGUCUUGAGUACAGUAGAGGUGGGCGGAAUUCGUGGUGUAGCGGUGAAAUGCUUAGAUAUCACGAAGAACUCCGAUUGCGAAGGCAGCUCACUGGACUGCAACUGACACUGAUGCUCGAAAGUGUGGGUAUCAAACAGGAUUAGAUACCCUGGUAGUCCACACAGUAAACGAUGAAUACUCGCUGUUUGCGAUAUACAGUAAGCGGCCAAGCGAAAGCAUUAAGUAUUCCACCUGGGGAGUACGCCGGCAACGGUGAAACUCAAAGGAAUUGACGGGGGCCCGCACAAGCGGAGGAACAUGUGGUUUAAUUCGAUGAUACGCGAGGAACCUUACCCGGGCUUAAAUUGCAGUGGAAUGAUGUGGAAACAUGUCAGUGAGCAAUCACCGCUGUGAAGGUGCUGCAUGGUUGUCGUCAGCUCGUGCCGUGAGGUGUCGGCUUAAGUGCCAUAACGAGCGCAACCCUUAUCUUCAGUUACUAACAGGUCAUGCUGAGGACUCUGGAGAGACUGCCGUCGUAAGAUGUGAGGAAGGUGGGGAUGACGUCAAAUCAGCACGGCCCUUACGUCCGGGGCUACACACGUGUUACAAUGGGGGGUACAGAAGGCAGCUAGCGGGUGACCGUAUGCUAAUCCCAAAAGCCUCUCUCAGUUCGGAUCGAAGUCUGCAACCCGACUUCGUGAAGCUGGAUUCGCUAGUAAUCGCGCAUCAGCCACGGCGCGGUGAAUACGUUCCCGGGCCUUGUACACACCGCCCGUCAAGCCAUGGGAGCCGGGGGUACCUGAAGUACGUAACCGCAAGGAUCGUCCUAGGGUAAAACUGGUGACUGGGGCUAAGUC